AGACGCCGCCUCUCUCCGCCGCCGGAGCCCGCGCUGGCAGGCGGCCGCCGUCCGCCGCGGAGGGGUUAAGCACUUGAAAAGCCCAUCUUGUCGGCUGCUGCCACAGUUUCCAAAGCUUUAACAUCUUCAGGUCAGAGGGUACAGCAUGCUGCUGCACUGCUCCAGCACAGCUCCUAGAGGCUUAGAGGUCCCUAACAACUGGAGGAAGGCAAAUGUUGC